rfam:Oryza rufipogon genomic scaffold, chr09
CCGACCUUAGCUCAGUUGGUAGAGCGGAGGACUGUAGUUUGAUGCAGAGAAAUCCUUAGGUCGCUGGUUCGAAUCCGGCAGGUCGGA